rnacentral:lncRNA from 1 species
GCCGACGCAGACAUAGCAAGGGUGGAGGCGGAGUCGGCAAAAGAAGCCAUGGGUCGGGCCAUGGAGGACUUCCGCGACUCCGAGGAGUACCGGGAGGAACUUCUGGAAAGCAGUUUCCUCUCAUAUCGAGUGGGGUACGAGGACACUUGGAAAGCCGUCCGGUUCUUGUAUCUGGAGCUCGACCUCAGUAGCAUCAUCCCGCCAGAGUCGGAGGC